AGGUGGGUGGGAGUCAGUCUCUGCUGAUUUGCCAUAGAUUUCUCUCUCUCAAGCCUCGGGAAUGGGACCAUCAGGGCUCUUCUUGGGCCUGCUGAUCUUUUAAUAGAGAAUGUGAGCUGGGGAUGGAACUGGGGUGGGAAACUAAUUUACUAUAGUUUCUUGGAUGGUCCCACCUUGGAUCUCCUUCUCUGGGGGCCGGCCCUUGGCUCCAAGACAAGGCAGUUUGUCCCCUUCAGGUAGCUUUGCUAUAGGGAAGGGUUGCCUUCAGGUUCUCAGAAUAUAAAAGAUAAAAUAAAUUUUAAAAAUGCAUGCAAAACGGAUCACGUUCUAUAUCCUGGAGAAAUUUAUGUUAUCACAUUAUUUUGUAAUGGGACACCAUGAAAAUAGCUAAUUUAAUUAGUCGUCUCUUGGUGAACAUGAAUCCCUGUACAAAAAGGUUGGCCUUCUCUUGCAGGCACAUCUGAUCUGGGGAAAUUCUUUGUGGUAGAAUUCUAGUUUCUCCAAUAAAGCCUGAUCCCCCCUCCCCCCGGAAAAGGCCCUCAAUCAGUGUUUGUUGAGUGACUGAAAGAAUGAAUAUAAUUCCCAAGUCUGUCUGUAAGAGAUUUGUUGAGCUUUGAGUAUUAGAAAACCCACCAAACAGUGGCUUCAUCAAUAAAGACAAUCUAAUUUCCUCACAUCGGAGUGUGGAGAGAGGCAUCCACAGUGCUAAUGAGGAGACUCCUUCCUUCCUUCCCCGCCAACCUCAGCGUGCUGGCUUUUGUCCUCAAGACGGUCCCCUCACGGGUGUGGGACCGUUGUGCAGCCCUAGACGUCACAGCAGGAAGGUCUGUGGAAAGGGUAAUGGUGAAAAGACCUUCCCCUCAAAUGCUCUCUCCUUUUAAUGACAGAGACCAUCUUCCCUGGAAGCUGACCCUGCCCAUGUUUCUCUCGUCCUCUCAUUGGCUGGAAAAGCAAAUGUCUGCAAACAGGAAGUGGAAAAUGUGACUUCUUAGAUGAAAUGUGCUUCAUCCUUGAGGCUGAGGGAGGGGCCCACCUGGAUUUAAAAAAUUGAGAUUCUAUUAGCAAGGAAGGAGAGAAUGGGGGAGGGAAGGAAUGAACCUCGUGUGCCGUACUGGGUUCAAGGACGUAUGCAUUCAAAAUUUGGACAGAAAUUUCUAAGUAGGCAGGACUUUUAUAACAAGUGCUCACCUUGAAUAUUGCAAAAAUGUUUUUUUAUAAUUCCCAACUCAAAAAAACAGAAAAAGGCAAGUUACAACUUAAAAAAAAAAAAAAAAAAAAAAACCUUCCAGGGCACCUGGGUGACGCAUUUGGUUGGGUGUCUGACUCUUAAAUUCUGCUCAAGUUGUGAUCUCAGGGUCGUGAGAUUGAGCCCUGUGUCGGGCUCUGAGUCUGCUCAAGACUCUCUCUCCCUGUGCCCCUCCCCCAAUAAAUAAAUAAAACUUUAAAAUUAAAAAAAAAUUUCCAUCACUGUUGUCUUUUUGUGCCCCCUUUCCCUCUGGUUUCACACUGGCCUGUGAAAUUCCGGUUUCUACUGGUUCGGAACACUCAUCUCUUUGAGAAGACAUGUCGGCGUUUGAUCUGAAGAGGAGCGGCUAGUGUGAGCCUUGCAGUGGCCAUCCUAGGGACCCUCAGGGUCCCAGGCUCAUAGUGCAGGGACCUAGGAGGACCUCCCGUGUCCGUGUAAUUGGCUGCUGAACAAUUUGGUGGUGGAGACCACAGGUGGCACAUGUGUGUGCUGCCUCAGUGACAUCAUGGGCUCUGCAUCCUCUCCCUGCUGCUCUUCUGGAUCUUUCUCUCUGCGGAGCAUAAUGUCAUUGCCUCUAGAAGUCCAAUGCGCUAUCCAUUGCGCCACGGAGCCACCACCUUCUCUUCUAAUUUUGGUGUAAUGAUUUCCAGUUUCCUGUUUCCUGUUCCUCCAGUCCUGUUCAGCAGAUGGUGUGGUACACAUACAGGAGAGAGAGAGACAGCAAGAGAGGGAGCACAAGCGGGCGAGUGGGAAAGGGAAAAGCAGGCUUCACGCCGAGAGCCUGGAUGUGGGGCUGGAUCCCAGGACUCUCAGAUCAUGACCCGAGCUGAAGGCAGAGGCUUAAUCCAC